rnacentral:rRNA from 1 species
AGUGAACGCUGGCGGUAGGCCUAACACAUGCAAGUCGAACGGCAGCACAGUAAGAGCUUGCUCUUACGGGUGGCGAGUGGCGGACGGGUGAGGAAUACAUCGGAAUCUACUUUUUCGUGGGGGAUAACGUAGGGAAACUUACGCUAAUACCGCAUACGACCUACGGGUGAAAGCAGGGGAUCUUCGGACCUUGCGCGAUUGAAUGAGCCGAUGUCGGAUUAGCUGGUUGGCGGGGUAAAGGCCCACCAAGGCGACGAUCCGUAGCUGGUCUGAGAGGAUGAUCAGCCACACUGGAACUGAGACACGGUCCAGACUCCUACGGGAGGCAGCAGUGGGGAAUAUUGGACAAUGGGCGCAAGCCUGAUCCAGCCAUACCGCGUGGGUGAAGAAGGCCUUCGGGUUGUAAAGCCCUUUUGUUGGGAAAGAAAAGCAGCAGGUUAAUACCCCGCUGUUCUGACGGUACCCAAAGAAUAAACACCGGCUAACUUCGU